GAAGGGAGCUUGCUCCCGGAUGUUAGCGGCGGACGGGUGAGUAACACGUGGGUAACCUGCCUGUAAGACUGGGAUAACUCCGGGAAACCGGAGCUAAUACCGGAUAGUUCCUUGAACCGCAUGGUUCAAGGAUGAAAGACGGUUUCGGCUGUCACUUACAGAUGGACCCGCGGCGCAUUAGCUAGUUGGUGAGGUAACGGCUCACCAAGGCGACGAUGCGUAGCCGACCUGAGAGGGUGAUCGGCCACACUGGGACUGAGACACGGCCCAGACUCCUACGGGAGGCAGCAGUAGGGAAUCUUCCGCAAUGGACGAAAGUCUGACGGAGCAACGCCGCGUGAGUGAUGAAGGUUUUCGGAUCGUAAAGCUCUGUUGUUAGGGAAGAACAAGUGCAAGAGUAACUGCUUGCACCAUGACGGUACCUAACCAGAAAGCCACGGCUAACUACGUGCCAGCAGCCGCGGUAAUACGUAGGUGGCAAGCGUUGUCCGGAAUUAUUGGGCGUAAAGGGCUCGCAGGCGGUUUCUUAAGUCUGAUGUGAAAGCCCCCGGCUCAACCGGGGAGGGUCAUUGGAAACUGGGAAACUUGAGUGCAGAAGAGGAGAGUGGAAUUCCACGUGUAGCGGUGAAAUGCGUAGAGAUGUGGAGGAACACCAGUGGCGAAGGCGACUCUCUGGUCUGUAACUGACGCUGAGGAGCGAAAGCGUGGGGAGCGAACAGGAUUAGAUACCCUGGUAGUCCACGCCGU
rnacentral:rRNA from 1 species